UACGUAGGUGGCGAGCGUUGUCCGGAUUUACUGGGCGUAAAGAGCGCGCAGGCGGUCGGUCAAGUCGCGUGUGAAAGCCCCCGGCUCAACUGGGGAGGGUCACGCGAUACUGAUCGACUCGAAGGCAGGAGAGGGAAGUGGAAUUCCCGGUGUAGUGGUGAAAUGCGUAGAUAUCGGGAGGAACACCAGUGGCGAAGGCGACUACCUGGCCUGUUCUUGACGCUGAGGCGCGAAAGCUAGGGGAGCAAACGGG
rnacentral:rRNA from 1 species